UCCCAGCUGUAAACGAUGCGGGCUAGGUGUUGGGGUGGCUACGAGCCACUUCAGUGCCGCAGGGAAGCCAUUAAGCCCGCCGCCUGGGGAGUACGGCCGCAAGGCUGAAACUUAAAGGAAUUGGCGGGGGAGCACCACAAGGCGUGAAGCUUGCGGUUCAAUUGGAGUCAACGCCGGGAACCUUACCGGAGGCGACAGCAGGAUGAAGGCCAGAUUGAAGGUCUUGCUGGACAAGCUGAGAGGAGGUGCAUGGCCGUCGCCAGUUCGUGCCGUGAGGUGUCCUGUUAAGUCAGGCAACGAUCGAGACCCGCACCCUUAGUUGCUACCACGGAAGUUUUCCAAGGGGCACUCUAAGGGGACUGCCGCCGACAAGGCGGAGGAAGGAGCGGGCCACGGCAGGUCAGUAUGCCCCGAAUCCUCCGGGCCACACGCGAGCUGCAAUGGCAGGGACAAUGGGUUCCAACCUUGAAAAAGGGAGG
rnacentral:rRNA from 1 species